rnacentral:rRNA from 1 species
GACGAACGCUGGCGGCGUGCUUAACACAUGCAAGUCGAACGGAAAGGCCCUGCUUGCAGGGUGCUUGAGUGGCGAACGGGUGGGUAACACGUGGGUGACCCGCCCUGCACUUCGGGAUAAGUCUGGGAAACUGGGUGUAAUACCGGUCAGAUGCCAUUUUUAGCGUGAUGGUUGGAAAGUUUUUUCGGCGUAGGAUGAGCUUGCGGGCUAUCGGCUUGUUGGUGUGGUAAUGGCCUACCAAGGCGGCGACGGGCAGCCGGCCUGAGAGGGUGGACGGCCGCAUUGGGACUGAGAUACGGCCCAGGCACCUACGGGGGGCAGCAGUGGGGAAGAUUGCACAAUGGGCGCAAGCCUGGUGCAGCGACUCCGCGUGGGGGAUGACGGCCUUCGUGUUGUAAACUCCUUUCGCUAGGGACGAAGCUUUUUGUGACGGUACCUAGAUAAGAAGCACCGGCUAACUACGUG